CCUACGGGUGGCUGCAGUGGGGAAUAUUGGACAAUGGGCGAAAGCCUGAUCCAGCCAUGCCGCGUGUGUGAAGAAGGCCUUCGGGUUGUAAAGCACUUUCAGUGGGGAAGAAAGCCUUGGGGCUAAUACCCUCGAGGAAGGACAUCACCCACAGAAGAAGCACCGGCUAACUCCGUGCCAGCAGCCGCGGUAAUACGGAGGGUGCGAGCGUUAAUCGGAAUUACUGGGCGUAAAGCGCGCGUAGGCGGUCUGAUAAGCCGGUUGUGAAAGCCCCGGGCUCAACCUGGGAACGGCAUCCGGAACUGUCAGACUAGAGUGCAGGAGAGGAAGGUAGAAUUCCCGGUGUAGCGGUGAAAUGCGUAGAGAUCGGGAGGAAUACCAGUGGCGAAGGCGGCCUUCUGGACUGACACUGACGCUGAGGUGCGAAAGCGUGGGUAGCAAACAGGAUUAGAUACCCGAGUAGUC
rnacentral:rRNA from 1 species